rnacentral:rRNA from 1 species
UACGUAGGGUGCAAGCGUUGUCCGGAAUUAUUGGGCGUAAAGAGCGUGUAGGCGGCCCGAUUAGUCCGCUGUGAAAGUCCAGGGCUCAACCCCUGGAAUGCCGGUGGAUACUGUCGGGCUAGAGUCCGGAAGGGGCGAGUGGAAUUCCUGGUGUAGCGGUGAAAUGCGCAGAUAUCAGGAGGAACACCAAUGGCGAAGGCAGCUCGCUGGGACGUGACUGACGCUGAGACGCGAAAGCGUGGGGGAGCAAACAGG